CAAACAUCUCCAGCUCAUCUUCUCAGGUAUCUAUGAAGAUUCCAUACAAACUCCUUUCAAAUUUUUCCCAGGAAUGCUGUCGGAACUGGACCUUGAUGAAGGAAAUACUUUCUGACUCAUUGGAAUUUGUUAUAGUCAAAAACCCUCAACCCUGCAUCCUACCAUCCUGGGCCUGCACUGCAAGUUACAUGAUCCCUGAGCUGACCACUUUGGCUUGAAUCCCUGGAAGGAGAAAGGAGAGAGAGCAACUAGUUCAGACACAAGCAUCUAGUUCAGCUUUGUUUGCCUGUGUGAUAACUUAGGUCUUCACCAUGCCCCAGAGUAAGACGACGCAUGAGGACCCUUCUUGUCAUUUAAUUAUUGCUUGACCAGAACUGUGCCUUGUAAGGUUAUUGCUCCCUUAAUGUGUCUCUCAGGGUCAGGCUGCAAAUUUUCCUCAAAGCAGCAUAAAAGAAGAAGGGACACUCACAAAUCACCUGACCAAUGCCUCUUUGUUUAGAAAUGCUUGCUGUUUGGAAACUUGUGAAGACCUGCAUCCCUUUGUAUCUCAAAUAAAGACAGAGGUGUUUCCAGACCUAAGAAUAACGGGAACAUGGAGGAGUGGCAUCUCCAGUGUAGCCACCCACCAAAGCCUCAUCCUGAACACUAUGGCCUAGUGGGUCACUUACAGGGAUGUAGCUGGCAUUGAUGUAGUCAGAGCAAGGAUCAUCAUCUACAUUGGAGAGCUUCACUCGCGUGGCAUCAUCUGGAAGGAGAGAUUUGCUGCUGAGUCUUGGAGUGACUUUUCUACAGUUUAUGUGAUGUGUGUGAUGUGCCUUAGCUCUGAUCCCCACAACAGCCACAGAUGGGAAGUGAUCUUAUCUCCAUUUUGCAGAUGAGGCUCAGGCAGGGUAACUAACUUGCCCCACGUUGCAUAGGUGGCCUAUAACCAGUCAGACACAGGAGACAACAUGAAGCCCCAUCUGUGCUUCCCUUUCUAACAUUACCACAUUUGCCUGAUGGAGUGGCCAGCUCCCUUUCACUGCUGGAAUGAAUACAAUCCAGAAAACCUACCUUCUAUUGCUUUACCUAAUGGGGUAAGGAAAUUUAAGUAGAAAUUGCUAACCGAAGACUUUGCUAAGCAAACCCAGGUCUGCUUGAUGUCAGAGCCCUUGCUGUUAACCCCAUUUACUGCUUAGCCUCCAAAGAGAAGCAAUAGUAUCACAUGGGGAAAUGUCAACAGCAUAAGAGGACUUUCAUAACCAGAAUUUAAACUGGCUAUUAUCUCUCUGGAGGGAAGUGCAGGAAUAUACAAGCCAUUUCUUAUUAAAGGCAUUCAGAGCUUGAGAUUGUCCAUAUCGAGCUAUAUUAUAUUUCUUUGGCCUCAUUUCAUUUUUGGAGAAAAAUGCAGAAAUGGCUAGAGGAAGACAGUAUUACAAAUUUUGACACAAAACUUACAGGGCAAUAUAUUGUUGUAUCGAUUUUUCCCUCUAUUCUCCGGCAAGAGUGCAAUGUCACAUGACUGGUUUCGGCCCACGUCUUUUAACUCCUGUUAGGUCAAAUAUGAGUUUGUAAGUGGAGAAUAUGAAAUAGAAUAAAGCAAAUCAUACAGUCCUGGAGAUACAUAAUAACAUGAAAAUAUAUACACUAGCUAUUGUUUAUGAAUGCCUAGUACUCAACAUGCAUUAGCCCUGAUCCCCACAACAGCCCCACAAGGGAGGUGGUGGUCUCACUAUUUUACAGGUGAGGCUCAGACAGGAUAACUGAUGUGCCCCGGGUCACCCAAGUGGCAAACCUGAGAAUCAAUUCCAAAAGCUACGUGCUUUUUGCGAAACCACGGCAUCUUCCAGCCAAGCAAAUGGCCAGGCUGAAUAUCUGACAGCAUUAGGUCUGCAUUUGAGAUUUGUUAAUUCUUCCUUACUAUCUGAUCCAGGUAGCCCUUGGUUUGCUGUGUUAUUCUGGAGCUCAAGCUGGCCUCUAAGAUUAGAUGGUAUAUUCUAUUCAGGGCAUAGUUUAGGCAUAAAAGAGUGCUCAGCUGAGAUUCUAAGCAGCCUCCUAACUUCUGAGCUCAAUCAGCCUAUGAUGACACAGUAAACAUUAGGAAGGAAAUUCUGCUAAGAACUAGGGAUGCUGAAGCUUCAUUCUGCCUGAGUUGUACCUCGUAUUCCUUGGAUAGAAGGUAGUUGGAGUCAGCCUGUAGCUUCAUGAAAUGCCCUUCAAACUGAUUUAUUUUUAUUGGACUGUAAUUAAAAAUGAAACAAAAAGAAAAGAGAGUUACUGCAGAAAAGGGAAAGUGCCAUAACUAUUCUGACUCAUAUUUCAAAGGCAGAUAAUAUAGUAAUUAAUGUGUUCUCUCUCUUACCAAGAAGUUUUCCGGUUACUGUGAAGAGAAGCCAAAAGAGGAAGACUUUGUUAGCAAAUUUCACAUAAUACCAUCUUUCAACAAAUUAUACGAAGGCAAAUGUGGUGCUUACCCUUUCUGGCCCAGGUUUAAGUGGACAGAUAAUGGUCGAUCCCUACGAAUGCUCAGACGGGCAGAGGGUCUUUCUCGACCAUGGCUGAAACAUAAGGGAGAUAACUUUUAUUCUGAUUAUGAUACUUGGCUUGAACAAAUUUUUCCAUUUAUGGUAAGUAAGGCUGUGGAUGUUUGUGCAAAUAUGGGUUUUUCAGUAUUCAUAUAGAUUUGCACUCAGCCAACAUCUCUGAGGGAGGGAAAGGAAAGAGAAUAAAGUAGAUCAUUCCCACCCAGAAACGGAUCUCUGCAAAAACUGAAGAUUUGUCUCCUGGUUUUUGGCUACAGGUUAUAAUCACUUCCCACAUUCUCAAUAAAACUUUGCUUAAAAAAAAUCCAGUAAAUUUUAGAUGCCAGACACGACUUCAAUAAAGAAGAACAUGUGCCAAAUUAAGAAAAAAAUUCACUAAGAGAAGAAGGCACGACACUUGGGGCCACAUGCUAUUUGGUUCUUUUUGGUCCCUUCUUAAAUUAGGAUGGCAGAUAUGAACUACAAAAUGGUGAUGUCAACCACACUUUUCAGGAUAUUUCAGAAAAGCACUUGGGCAUGCAAUUUGCAAACAUCUCUGUCUUCAUGAGGAUAUGAACCACACACACACACAAAUAUUUUUUUUCCUGUGCAAAAGGAGUCACUUCAUCUUUAAAUAAAGCUAUAGAUGGCCCCUCAGUCCUUUGGUAAGGGCUGAAUUCAUCAAUGGGAUAUAAAAGAGCUGAGAAAAGUGACUCAUGGCUUUAGAGUUUGACUUGUUUUUAUUGAGAAAACAGUGACAAUUUAACCUGGAAAAAUUAAAUUACUUUCCCUUCUUAGUUUUCAGCCUAAAGGGAAUUUUCAGUUGCAUUUUUAAAGUUGUGGGUCCAAUCACCAAAAGGAUCUUUGUACUUACCUCACUUUCUGUCUGCAGAUCAAUAAGGCAACAACAGCCACUAGCAUGCCAAUUAAAAACAGACCAGCACUCACACCUUCAAUAGCUCCAAACAAGGGCUCUACAAUAAUCCAGAUAGAAACAACAAAUGCAGGUGGGAAAAUUAGUGCUAGGGAACCAGUAAGAAAGCUAUUGAAGCCAUAUCUCCCAAGUAAUGUUAUUACAAAUAGAAUUCAAGUGAUGCCCACGAUGAGGCAUUUACUUUCCAAAGGCUAUGAGUAUGCACCUAAGAAGAUGAAAGGCUGGCUCCCACCCUGUAGCAGUGAGGCCAGGUGUCACUGUAUACUUUUGAAGUUAAUGGUGCAUAGCUUAUAGAGGAAUUUUGGACUUUGCACUUGUAUAUAAAGCUUGGGGCACCUAAGAUAAAGGCCAUAAGUUUGCCACCAAGAUAAAAAUGUAAUUUCAUUUAUAUAAAACAUGUUACACAGCAUCUGGGGCUUUGGAAAAUCCAGUGGAUUGCUUGGAGCUAUUUUAAGAAGUCUUAUUUUUAUUAUCUGGUAUGGUAACGCUACUGGGAGUUUAUGAAGAGGUAAGAGUGGCCUCAUUUUUAAAAUAGCUUUAUUGAAAUAUCAUUCAUAUAGCAUGCAACUCACCCAUCUAUAAAUUGUACAAUUCAGUGGUCUUUAGUCAAAGUUUUGCAAAUGUCACCACAAUCAAUUUUAAAACAUUUUCAUCACCCUCAAAAGAAACCACAUACCUAUUAGCAGUCAGUCCCAUUCCUCCCUCCCCGCGAUCCCUGGCAACCACUAAUCUACUUUCUGUGUCUGUGGAUUUGCCUAUUCUGGAUGUUUCAUAGAAAUGAAAUCAUAAAUCUGUGAUCUUUUGUGACUGGCUCCUUUCAUUUAGCAUAACGUUUUCAAGGUUCAUCCAUGUUAUAGCAUAUACCAAGAUUUCAUUCCUUUUUAUGGUUGAAUAAUCGUCCGUUGUAUGGAUAUAUCACAUUUUGUUUAUCCAUUGAUGGACAUUUAAAUUGCUUCUACUUUUUGGCGAUUAUGAAUAAUGCUGCUAUGAACAUUCAUGUACAAGUUUCUAUGUGGACAUAUGUUUUCAUUUCUCCUGGGUAUAUACUGAUGAGUGAAAUUGCUGGGUCGUAUGGUAACUCUAGGUUUAAUAUUUCUAUAAACUUUUUCAAAGCAGUGUCACCAUUUUACAUUCUCAUAAGCAGUGUAUGGAAGGUUCUGAUUUCUUCAUAUCCUCACUAACUCUUGUUACUGCCUUUUUGAUUAUAGCCAUGCUACUGGGUGUGAAGUGGUAUCUUCUUGUCAUUUUGAUUUGCAUUUCCCUAAUGACUCAUGAUGUUGAGCAUCUUUUCAUGUGCUUUUUAGUCAACUGUAUAUCUUCUUUGGAGACAUGUCUAUUCAGAGCCUUUGCCCAUUUAAAUAUUGUGUAAUUUGGCUGGGCAUGGUGGCUCAUACCUGUAAUCCCAGCAUUUUUGGGGGCUGAGGCAGGCAGAUCACGAAGCCAGGAGUUUGAGACCAGCCUGGCCAACAUGGUGAAACCUUGUCUCUACUAAAAAUACAAAAAUUACUACAGGCGCAUGCCUGUAGUCCCAGCUACUGGGGAGGCUGAGGCAGGAAAAUUGCUUGAACCUGGGAGGUGGAGGUUGCAUUGAGCCAAGGUGGCAUCACCGCACUACAGCCUGGGUGACAGAGCAAGACUCCGUCUUGAAAAAAAAAAAAAUAUAUAUAUAUAUAUGGCCUGGCGUGGUGGCUCACGCCUGUAAUCCCAGCACUUUGGGAGGCCGAGACAGGUGGAUCACGAGGUCAGGAGAUCGAGAACAUCCUGGCCAACACGUGAAACCCUGUCUCUACUAAAAAUACAAAAAAUUAGCCGGGCGUGGUGGCGGGCGCCUGUAGUCCCCGCUACUUAGGAGGCUGAGGCAGGAGAAUGGCGUGAACCUGGGAGGCGGAGCUUGCAGCGGGCCGAGAUCGCACCACUGCACUCCAGCCUGGGCAACACAGCGAGACUGUCUCAAAAAAAAGAAAAAAAAAAAAGGAAAAAAAUAUAUAUAUUACACUAUAUAUAUAUAGUGUAAUUUGUGUUUUUAUUAUUAAAUUGUGAGGUAAGAGUUCUUUAUAUACUAUUCGGCCCUUAUCAGAUACGUGAUUUGGAAAAUAAAUAUUUUCUCCCUAUUCUGUAGGUUGUCUUUUUACUUUGCUGAUAGUGUCCUUUGAAGCACAAGUUUUUAACUUUGAUUAAAUCCAGAGUAUCCAUUUUUUCUUUUGUAGCUUAUGCUUUUGGUGUCAUAUCUAAAAAGCUAUUUUCUAAUCCAAGGUUACAAAGAUUUACACCUAUGUUUUCUUGUAAAAGUGUUACUGUGUUAUCCCUUAAAUUUACGUCUAUGAAGUGGCCCAUUUUUGAAGUUGCAUUUUAAGACCUUAGAUUUGUUUGUUCCAUGUUGCUUUUCAAGACUCAUCAAAUCAACACAAUCAUCUUUCCUUGAAUGUAGUUAAUAUCCUUUUUUGAAUAUACGUUUACUGUCUUCCUGUACUGGACUACAUGCAAUUUUUGUCAUGUAACAAUAUUUCAAAAAGGAAAGAAUUGUGUUUACAAAGUCCCUACAUUAUAAGUAAAGACAUCUAAAUCCUCUUAA